AAUUGGGAUUCUGCCUUUGGGGAAGUGCUUCCUUUCAGGGACUAGAGAGGAAGAAGAGGAUUUAUCUGACUCAACUGGAGAUGGCUCCCUUCCCUUAUUUAUUGUUGCAUCCUGAAGCUUCCCCCAUGCUGGGCUCAGUGUGAACAAACAGCGCGGGAGAAUGCAACCACUGCAGAGGCAUAUGUUUGAGAUACCUGGCCACUGGAGGUCAUCUCGUCUACUAUAUUCACCGCAGAUAAAGAAUGAAAAGAGAAUACACAACCUUGUGAUUGCUAGCAGUGAAAGCUCAGAGUUAUGACAUAACAGAAUUGGCUCAUGUGACUAUGGAGGCUGAGAUGUCCCAAGAGCUGGAUACCCAGGAGAAGCAAAGAGUGGUUGAUCAUACUGUAAAACUCAAAUGUGAAGGGAAGGCUGGAACCUACUGGAAACUGAAGAUCUAACGAAAAGAAGGAACUUUUAGGAACUAGCAGAGACUUCAAAAUGUUGAGAACUCUCUUUUUUCAUAAGAGAAGAUAAAAACUCUGAUGGUCACACUCAUAAAGACAAAAAACAAAUAAAAAACAAACAAAAACUCAGAAUCACAAGAGCAAAGAAAAUGUAGGUAAAACAAUAACAGAAGAGGUAAAGAAAUUUAUGUGAAUUGGGACACUCUGGGGCACAGAACAGAAGAGGAGAAGAAACAUGAAAGUAAUGCUCUGCACAAGGAUGUCUGACUGUCCUUGAUUCCAAGGGCAUUUAAAAUUAGCCACUGGAUGAGAACCAUGAAAUGCCAUGACUCUUACAGCUCCCAUGAAAGACAUUGGAUGGAACUUAUCCUAACUGGACCAAAUUCUAAAAAAUUUUACAUGAUAUUAUAAUGAGUUGAAAGUUGAAAAAAAAAAGCUCUUCUAGAUUACCAAGAAUAAAACACAAAUUUCUAGCUGACUGAAUUAAUUCUCAUCUCUCUAUAGAAAGAUCAUAGAAAUUUUUUUUAUCAUGCAAAGAAAUAGCUAAAAAUUUACAAAAAUAUAGACGUGCAUUAGGCAGCUCAUGAAUAAAUGCGUUUUUUCCUUUUUUCCUCCAGAAUUUUGUGAUGUUUAUGGUACUUUUCGGCUUUUAAAAUUUUGUAUUUAAUCAGGAUUUAUUACUUCAUUGUAAGUAAAUAUUAAAUUUGUACUCCAUCUUUGUUUGUAAUUUUGUAUAUUUUUCAGUAAAAAGGACUCCCCAGAUUAUGUAAGCUUUAGGCCCCACAAAAUCUAGGCCUGUUGCUGUAUCCUUUCUAGAGCAGUGUUUCUCAAACUUCAAUGUGCAUUUGAAUCUCCUGGGGCUCCUGUUAAAAUAUAGCUUCUGAGAUGAUGCAUUUCUAACAGACUCCCAGGGCUGACACUGCCCAUCUGGGGACCACACUUUGAGAAUCAAAUAUCUAGAACAAUGGUUCUUACCUGGCUGUGCAUUGGGAUCAUUUAUAGUGCUUUUGGAAAAUACAUUGUGUCCAGGUCCCACCCAGUUCUCAGUAGGCUUGGAAUGGGGUCCUACACUUUUUUUUUUUAACUCCACAGUUUGGGAAAGAAGCCUUUUCAUAUAUUGUUGGUGGGAAUACAAAUUGAUACAGCCAUUUUUGAGCUUGAUUUGGCAAUAUCUUCCUUGGAGAAAUCAAAAGCCAGUUGGCAAGCCAGUCUGGAAAAGGCAGUUUACUGAUUCCCACCCGAGGGUCACAAAGCAGGUAUAGAAGGAUGGGCUUUGGCUGAAAUAUAUGAUGGGUACAGGUAUAUUCUCUAUAAUCCAGUAUUUCCACUGCUGAAAACGUAUCCUAGUAACAUUAUACAUAUCAAGCCUACAUAUAAAGUUGGUCAAUUCCAUAUUAUUUGUAGUAGGGGAAAACUGAAAGCAGUCUACAUGCCCAUCAAUAGAUUAUUCAAAUUAUGGAACAGUUUUCCAAUGACAAAACAAUAGCUAAUCUUAGUUAAGCAAUUAUUAUGUUAUGUAAGGUAGACAUUGUUCUACCUUAUUUAUAAGUAUUAAGUUAGUUUUUAUAACUAUCAUAUUUCCAUUUUACAAAUGACAUAAUUUAUAUUAUUGACAUGGGAAGAUGUCCAAGGAUAUAAUAAGCAAAAAGCAAGUAGCAAAACAUUAUGUAUAUUAUGCAUUACCAUUAUAAUAUACUAAAAAGUAAUGCACUUGAUUCUGAUGCACACUCCCCAGUAGGUAACAACUUAUCUAGUGUAAAAAUGAAAGAACAUUCUGGGCCGGGCACGGUGGCUCAUGCCUGUAAUCCCAGCACUUUGGGAGGCCCAGGUGGGCGGAUCACAAGGUCAGGAGAUCGAGACCAUCCUGGCUAACAUGGUGAAACCCCGUCUCUACUAAAAAUACAAAAAAAAAAUUAGCUGGGCGUGGUGGCCGGCGCCUGUAGUCGCAGCUACUCGGGAGGCUGAGGCAGGAGAAUGGCGUGAACCCGGGAGGCGGAGCUUUCAGUGAGCGGAGAUAGCGCCAUUGCACUCCAGCCUGGGCGACAGAGCGAGACUCUGCCUCAACAACAACAACAACAACAACAAAAAAAAAAAAAAAAAAAAAAAAAGAACAUUCUGUUACCUCAAACACGCUGUUUUCAUGCAAUUUAGUUAACUGGUAGCACUUUCAGAAGAAGACAAAGUAAAAAUGGUUAGGUCAAUUUGGUGGCAUAGAGUAUUCUAUCGAUCAGUGGUCAAAAGAGUAGUCAUUCUGAGUGAUCUCUAACAUUAGGGUUGAUGGAAGAGAUGACCCAUAGAUGUCCCUACAUCUCAUUUCUCUUAGGACACACACUUGGGAGAAAUCGUCCAGUGCACUUUGUCCAGGCCUUUUACUUGUACCAACUACUUUGCUUUAUGCUGUUUUCACUUUAGUGGUUCUGCCUUCUAGUCCACAGAAAAGUUUUUUCUUAACGUAUUUUUUUCCCAACACUUUAUUAUGGGAAUUUUCAAACAUACAGAAAAGAUAAAAGAAAUUUACAGAGAAUACUCGUGUCUCUAUCAGCUAGAUUCUACAGUUAACAUUUUACUAUAGUAGUUUUAUUGCAUAUCUGUUUAUCUCCCUGUGCAUCCAUGGAUCCAAUUCAUCUUUAGGAUGCAUUUCAAAGCAAGUUGCUGACGUCAGUACACUUCCCUCUCAAUACUUUAGUAUGUGGAUCAAUAACCCUAGCUUAAGAUUUGUUGAUUGUUUUUCUUUCCUUUUGAAGUAAAAUUUACACACAAGGAAAUGCACACAUCUUAAGUGGACCAUUUGAUGAGUUUUGAGUAAUGCCCACAUUGUGUAACUCAAACGUCUAUCAAGAAAGAACAUUACCAUACCUGAGAGUAUCCUCAUGCUCCUCCCCUGGGGUACUCCCUGCCUCUCCACACCAAUCCCCCCAGGUAACAACUGUUCUGAUAUCCCCCUCACCAUAUAUACCUGCUCUAGAACAUCAUAUAAAUGGAAUGAUACAAUAUGUCUUUUGUAUAAGCUUUAUUCCACUCAGCAUAAUGUUUUUGCCAUUCACCCAUAUUAUUGAUCAUAUUAGUACCUUGCUCCUUCUUAUUACUGAGUAGUAUUAGAUAGUAUAAACAUAGCGUAGUCUAUUUUCCUAUUUUGAUGGAUAUGUGGGCUUGUUCUGAUUUUUGCUUAUUAUGAAUAAAACUUCUGAGUAUUCUUGUACAAGUAUUUUUUGGACAUACAUUUUCAUUUCUCUUGGCAAAAUACCUAGGAAUGGAAUUGCUGGGUCAUAGGGUAUACUUUUAGUUUUGUAAGAAGCUGUCAGAUCUCUUCCCAAAGUGGUUGUAACAUUUUACACUCCUACUAACAGUGCAUGGGAAGCCAGUUUCUCUAUAUCCUCUCCAACAUUUGGUGCUGUCAAUCUUUUAAAAUUUUAGCCAUUUUUGUGGUUGUAUAGUGUUAUCUCAUUGCAGUUUUAAUUUGCCGAUCCCUGAAUGUGUGUAGGUGUGUAUAUGUAUUAUAUAAUAUAUAUAUUAUUCUUUCACUUAUUUUGAAGUAAUUUCAAAGUUUCCAGAAUAAUAUCAAGAACUCCUGUACUCCCUUCGCCAGAUUCUCCAAUUGUAACGUUUUAUUGCAUAUGCUCCAUUGCCCAUUCUCUCUCUACUUAUAGCUGCAUUAGUGUUUUUCUGAACCUUUAGAGAUGAAGGUGAAAAAAGAUGCGAUAUCACCACCCUCCCGUUCUAGUAUGCAUUUUCCCCAAAUAAAGACAUUUUCCUACAGAAUCAGCAUAUGAUCCUUCAUAUCAGGUUAUCAACAGUGGUAUAACACUGUCCAGUCCACAGACCCCAUUUGCCAAUGAGCCCCCAAAUCUCUGCUUUUUCUUUGUGUUCCAGGAUAUUAUCCAUGAGCCUGUGUUUCAUGUAAUUGUCAUGUUUCUUCGGAUUCCUUCAAACUGCUACAGCUUCUGUGUCUAUCCCUGUCUUCCAUGUGCUUGACAGCUUUGAAGAGUACAGGUCCUUCAUUCAGUAGAAUGACCACCAAGCCAGGUCCACCAGAUGUUUCAUCAUGGUUUUAGUGAGGUUAUAAAUUCUGGGCAGUAAUUCUACAGAAGUGCUGCUUUGUUUUUCUCAGUGCCUCACACCCAGUGGCACAUAUCAUCACCACUGGUGAUGCUAACCUCGAUUGCUCAACCACAUUGUCUGCCAGCUCCCGCCUACUUAAAUUCAACAUUUUGCCUUUUGCAAUUUAUUUGUGUUUUGUGGGAACAUAUUUUCAUUUCUGAAAUUAGUCAAUAUCCUGUUCCUUAUCAAACUUCCAACUCUGGUCUUAGCAUCCAUUGACUGAAUCAAGUGCCUUUGUGUAAGUUUCCACAUGAUGAGUGUCUAUUUCCAUCAUUGGUUCUAUUUUUAUGAGCUGGUAUUUUACUAUAAGAAAUAGCAUAUUAUUUUCUAUGCUUAAACCACUGCAAGUUUGACCCUUUCAAGCUGGUUUUUGUGUCCUUUUGACAUAUUCCCAUUGUUCAUUGAGCAUUUCCUUAUUUUCUGGCAUAAGAAGAUGUUCCAAGUGCAACUUGUAUAUUACCUGUUUCAGCCCUGGAAUCAGACAUUUUCCUAAGGAUCCUUGGUUUCUUUGAAUAAAGGAUACUAUUUAGAAGCCAAGAUCUGGUUAAUCCGUAUGUUAAUUGCUACUGGGGUAUCAUUGCUUUAGGCCCAUUCAGUGGACAGAGCUAGGAAAAAUACACAUUUUUCAUGUCUGUCUGGCUACAUAUGUAUGUAUUUAUACAUCUAUAUGAUUUUGAUAUCAAUCUCUAUGUAUGUUAUAUAUACAUAUAAU
rnacentral:lncRNA from 1 species